AGGGCCGGCCACUCACGGCCACGACUGGAGUUCGCUCAUGAGCGUUUCCACGUGAGAGGCCUACGAACCAACGGGUAAACGUCGGUACCUAUCCUGGACCAUCCUGCGUGUAGCCAACCCGUCUGCCGCACAGCGUAUGUCCAGGCCCGCCCCCUUGUGGGGUAGGUUUAAUGAGCUCUGGCACGGGAGCCACCGAUACACUAUACUCUGUUAACCAGAGGCCGUGAGGCCAUCGAAAGUACUAUUCUAAGCGGUGGAUCACUCGGCUCGCAGGUCGAUGAAGAACGCAGCCAACUGCGGUAAUUAAUGCGAAUUGCAGACACAUUGAGCAUCGACCUUUCGAACGCACAUUGCGGCACUAGGUUCACUCCUGGUGCCACGUCUGUCUGAGGGUCGCGAUUCUGACAGCACUUCGUACCCGAAUGAUAUGGGUCGUGCAAGAGGAGACAUGUUUAAGUGGAACGGCAGCAUCCGCCGAACUGCAAAGACAGCUCUUCGGAGGUUAGAAGGCCAACAGAUCCUUGGUUGGUAAAACAUGACCCAAUGGGGUUCGGCAGUGUAACGAUUAUUCGCUGCCGUUUCCCCGCAGGGUUCAUUGGUCCGACCUCAGAUCAGACGUGACAACCCGCUGAACUUAAGCAUAUCACUAGGCGGAGGAAAA
rnacentral:misc_RNA from 1 species